rnacentral:lncRNA from 1 species
GAUCCAGUGGACAUAAAGAGCAGCACAGAGCCGGAGCCGGAGGCUGAAGCUCUCAAACCCAGUCCAGUGGAAGCUGCAGAAGAAAAUAACCCGUCAGAGGAGGCCAAAGCAGCAGAAAAGACAGUUAUGAACUUUUUCAAAACAUUUGUGAGUACAUUUUCAUUGCUUUGGGUGAUUCGAAUGCUGUUCGAAUUCUCUUUCAAACUACAUUUCUGUUGUAAUUGCACCUCAUUGGUGUUUAAAGCUAAGCAGCAAUCAGAAGUUUCAAUAUUAUUGAGAAACACAAGCAUGCAGUGUUUAUAGAAAAUCAUUUAUAAGAAUAACAAGUGUGUAUUUGUCUAUAACUGAACUAUCUAGACUUGUUGUUCCAGACUAAAAUUAUGCAUUUUUACUCUAUCUUUGAGGUAUUUGUUACACUGCUGUAUUUUUUUAUCUGUUAAACUCUGUUUGGCACUCUGUUGAAUCAAUCUUCUGGACGUGUCAAACUGUGGCAGGCUUUUGUUUGCUGCAUAAUGUGAGCUCACAAGGGAGGCCUGUGCGUUUGGGGUUGUGAUAAAGCACGGGAAGGCCUACGCCAUCUCCAGAGGACAAUGACUCACUCAACACCAGAAACAUGCUCAGAUCGGCUCCUGCCAGCCAGAUCUUUGUGUGCCUGUGGCAAAGCAAGCCCGGCUAAACUGUGUCUGGAUUUGACAGACAGGCUUUAUCCUCACAAAAGAUGCUUUUUGAUAUCUCUGUCUUAGAGUAGGUCCAGUUUGGAGAGAUGGAGUACCUGAAGGAGCAGUAUAUGAUGGUGUUUCAAAGUCACUCUAAUGUUUACGUGUCUCCGUUCUCUUUUCUGCAUGUGAAGGUCACUCCGACCAAAACAAGCAAAGAAGCCAAAGCCACUCCUGAUGCUUCUAAAGAGCAGUCACAGAAAGAGACCCCACCAGCACCAUCUACUAAUGAAGCACCCAAGGCACCCCCUCCUCCUCCCCCAGCGCCACCUAAGAUGGAAAGCAAAGCAGAGCCGGCGGUGAAGAAAGAGGACACGUCUGCAACAAAAGCAGCCGCGGCAGCUGCAACAAAAGCAGAGGGAUCUGCCAAGAGCAAAACUAAAGACAGUGCAUUAGGCAAACUCUUCCGUUCAAAGGUCGACGCGUCUAAGAGCAGCACUCUCGAGGCCGCUGCAAAACCUGAAGAUCCUCCAGCACCAAAACCAGAGGAGAAGAAACCAGAGAAGAAAUCCACUUUUGGAAGCAUGUUUAAACCCAAGGCACCAGAGCCCAAGAAGGAGACUCCAGCUGCUCCUCCUGCGGCAGAAGCUGCUCCACCUGCGAAGGCCAAAGAAGAGUCACCGCAAGCGACCCCGGACAACAAAUCAGCCGAAAGCACAGAGAACGCCUCCCCAAACAUGCCCACAAGCUGGAGAAGAGGAACUCCUUCCAGCUGUUCUUCAAAAACCUGGCUAAGUAGAAACGCAGAGAUUCUCCAGGGCUAGGGAUCCCACUCAAACCUGUGAGCAUUUGCAAUCUGUGUAGUUUAACUCUUCAGCUGUAUGUAGUUUUCCCGGUUAAAUGCUGUCGAGAAACAUUUCGUAAUUCUGUCCGAUGUCUAACCAUCCGGAGUAUUUUGAUAUUGCUGGCUAUUAAUCUUAAAACAGUGAUCUGUGAGGUGAUGAAAUGAUUAAUUGCAUCCAAACAAGUGUUUUAUUAUGUAAACAAAAACUUUUAUUUUGGAUGCGAUUAAUCGGCAAUAAUUACAAUACAAAAAUCAACAUUCACAGGGUGUGAACACCAUAUGGCAUCAAUUGCCAACCUAUCUAGAUUAUUAAAUUAAUUCCACAUCAGUUUAUUUGAAUUUUAAUAAAAUGCUGAUUUAAAAAAAAAGUGAUAAUAUUUAAUUAAAUUGGGCGCAAAUAUAUUGCAUGUACAUUUUUUUUAUUGCAUGGAAUCUAAUAAUAUUGGCAUUAAAUUUAAUUAUCUAAAUAUGUAAUUCUAAUCUUUGUUUGGCAAUGUAUAACUUCUCCAUAAAUAAACUAUUUUUUUUUGUCAUGUAAUAUGAAUAUAAUUGUCCCCAAUUAUUGUUAUUUCAAGUGGGAUCGUCCCUGUCAGUUUUCCUCAGAAAAAAACAUGACAACUAAAUUAGCGCAGAUAAUAAAGCACAGAAAUUGUCCAAAGUUGCUCUGGAUUCGCUUAGUAAAUAAAAGCCCAGUUGUCAGGUGGGUUGCAAAGGGUUUUUGCCUUCAGACACCAUUAUGGACGAGUGGUAAAAAACACACACUUUCUUGCUAAGUUAGGAUCUCUAAUGUUGCGUUAUGCGUUGGUGUGUCUCACAAAAACGCCAUUCUGAUGGCGGAGUGCAAACGGAGCCUGCGGCACCCGAGAAGGCCAAAUAAAACCCCACCUUUGUUUUGAUCGCUCAUCUCUGCCAAAACCAUUGCGCAUAAGAACAUAUUUGCCAUAGAUGGGAGGUAUUAUGCUGAUUUACGAGGCCCAAAUUUGAAAGUAACUAUCAAAUAAUUAAUCCCCAUGCAUUUAGUGAGAGCAGAAGCAAGUGUAAUGAUAUACACUGUUAAGCAAGUGGCCACAUGUGUUUUCGACUGGAGGGAGGAACUUGUUUGUUUCCUGCAGAGAACCGUGUCAGAGUUGUGUGUUGUGGCAUGAGAUGGAAAAGUGAAAGUGAAAAUGCAAUCCUGCAUUUCAGAAUAAACUCCCUUUUCUGUGCAUGAUAAAAUGUCAAAUAUGUUAACUGAACUAACACUAUUGUCGUAUUGCAAUUGCAAUUCACAUGCAUUAUGCAUUAAAAGCAUUGCAUUUUCACCUGGACAAAGCAAACAUCAUGCAUGUUUACAUGUGAAAAGAAAUUAUUUAUGUAAUCAUACACUAUCUGAUCUGAAAACAAUGACCUGUUGUCUGCUAUUUCAAUCACUGAAACCUACAAAGCCAACUUGAAUUCCACUUAAAGCGCAAAACUUCUGAAUCACCAUAGAAAUCAAAAUAGUUUAUUUAACAUAAUGUCAAUCAAACUGAGCACCGUAUAUUAUAAACAACUUACUUGGUCAUUUAAGUUUUCAACAAAAAAAAACCUACACUUUGUUUUCAUUUCCACUUAGAAGAUUUAUUUAUUUAUUAAUCAUGACUUACUAACUAAACCACAUUGCAAUUAUUGUCUUGUUAUUUGCUUGGCCGUCCGGUUCUGAUCAGGGGAGACUAAAAAGAAAUUAAUCUAGUUAAAUAUUUUAUUGUAUUUCUUAUUUUUAUGAACAGUACAGUUUGAGAUAAAUUUGUGGUAUACAGUUAGGCCAUAUACAAUGUACAUUCAACUCUGCAGUCGCAUUUACUUUAAUGAUUUUCUUCCUAAUUUUCUCUACAUUUGUAAAGAGUAGAAGGGCCAUAUUCAGAAUUCAGACUAUAUGCAUGAAUCUUAUACUGUCUGUAUCUUCUUUGUUGCAUAUUUCUCUAUUUAACCAAUGUAUAAAAAUAAAAUAAUAAUUUCUCUCCUCUGUAAAAUGACUCAUUCUGUAU